rnacentral:rRNA from 1 species
GUCGAGCGCGUAGCAAUACGAGCGGCAGACGGGUGAGUAACGCGUGGGAAUCUACCCAUCUCUACGGAACAACUCCGGGAAACUGGAGCUAAUACCGUAUACGUCCUUUUGGAGAAAGAUUUAUCGGAGAUGGAUGAGCCCGCGUUGGAUUAGCUAGUUGGUGGGGUAAUGGCCUACCAAGGCGACGAUCCAUAGCUGGUCUGAGAGGAUGAUCAGCCACACUGGGACUGAGACACGGCCCAGACUCCUACGGGAGGCAGCAGUGGGGAAUAUUGGACAAUGGGCGCAAGCCUGAUCCAGCCAUGCCGCGUGAGUGAUGAAGGCCCUAGGGUUGUAAAGCUCUUUCACCGGUGAAGAUAAUGACGGUAACCGGAGAAGAAGCCCCGGCUAAC